AGAAAAAAGAAAUCACAUACUGGAUGGAACUAGCAGAUUAGUCAUCAAGAAAGAAAAAAUAACUCAAAGACUGUAAGACAAACUUUAAAUGUGAAGACAGAAAAAACAGCAUUAGUGAGCAACAAGACGUAUACAUGUUUUCCAAUAAAACUUUGUUUAUUUUAUCUCUUGAGACAGGGUAUCACUAUGUAGCCCUGGCUGGACUGGAACUCACUAUUAGACCAGAUUGGCCUUGAACUCACAGAAAUCUGCCUGCCUCUGCCUCCUGACAGCUGGGAUUGGAUAACAUAUUUUCUUUAGCUCUUUUCACCUUUUAAAAAUAACUUUUCCCACCCACAGGCAUUUGGAUAAUAAUAGCACUGAACCAGGGCUUACAUUGGGAGGCUAUUUCUGCCCACAGUGUCGAGCAAAGUACUGUGAGCUUCCUGUCGAAUGUAAAAUAUGUGGUCUUACUUUGGUGUCUGCACCUCACUUGGCAAGAUCUUAUCAUCAUUUAUUUCCUUUGGAUGCUUUUCAAGAAAUCCCCCUGGAAGAAUAUAAAGGAGAGAGGUUUUGUUAUGGAUGUCAGGGUGAAUUGAAAGACCAACAUGUCUAUGUUUGCACAGUGUGCCGGAACGUCUUCUGUGUGGACUGCGAUGUCUUUGUUCACGACUCUCUCCACUGCUGUCCUGGCUGUGUUCAUAAGAUCCCAACUCAGUCAGGUGUUUGAUCCCACGAAGAACACACACAUUGAGUAGGUUAAAAACAGAACAAAGCUUGUGACUGUAAAUAAAAUGACUUUGAAUAAACUGAUUCUCUAAUUAAAGCAUGAAAAC
rnacentral:lncRNA from 1 species